AAACGACUCUCGGCAACGGAUAUCUCGGCUCUCGCAUCGAUGAAGAACGUAGCGAAAUGCGAUACUUGGUGUGAAUUGCAGAAUCCCGUGAACCAUCGAGUCUUUGAACGCAAGUUGCGCCCGAAGCCUCCUGGCUGAGGGCACGUCUGCCUGGGCGUCACGCAU
rnacentral:rRNA from 1 species